rnacentral:rRNA from 1 species
UACGGAGGGGGCAAGCGUUAUCCGGAUUUACUGGGUGUAAAGGGAGCGUAGACGGCGAUGCAAGUCUGAAGUGAAAGGCGGGGGCCCAACCCCCGGACUGCUUUGGAAACUGUAUGGCUGGAGUGCAGGAGAGGUAAGUGGAAUUCCUAGUGUAGCGGUGAAAUGCGUAGAUAUUAGGAGGAACACCAGUGGCGAAGGCGGCUUACUGGACUGUAACUGACACUGAGGCUCGAAAGCGUGGGGAGCAAACAGG